rnacentral:rRNA from 1 species
GGACCCGCACAAGUAGUGGAGCAUGUGGUUUAAUUCGAAGAUACGCGCAGAACCUUACCAACACUUGACAUGUUCGUCGCGACUUUAAGAGAUUAAAGUUUUCGGUUCGGCCGGACGAAACACAGGUGCUGCAUGGCUGUCGUCAGCUCGUGUCGUGAGAUGUUGGUUAAGUCCCGCAACGAGCGCAACCCUCACUUUUAGUUGCCAGCAUUAAGUUGGGCACUCUAGCGAGACUGCCGGUGAUAAGCCGGAGGAAGGUGGGGAUGACGUCAAGUCCUCAUGGCCUUACAGGCUGGGCUACACACGUGCUACAAUGGCGAUGACAGUGGGCAGCGACCCCGCAAGGGUGAGCUAA